rnacentral:rRNA from 1 species
GUGCGCGUCACGUAACUAUGUUGUGGUCGAGUCAAACCCAGAGGACGAGAGGAAAGAGACGGCGCCCGCCCCUCCGACUCCUCCGCUCGUCGUCGCCGUCCGGUCCAGCUGCGAGAUGGCGGCGGCGGUGGACCUGGAGGACGCGUUCGGCGCGGUCUACGGCGAAGCCAAGCCGGAGGGCUACCCCACCGCGCGCCCCAUCCUCUUCCGCGCCCACGCCCGCUCCGCCGCCGCCCUCCGCGUCGUCGCCACCGACUGCCACUCCCUCGCCUGGGACUGCUCCCUCUCCGUCUCCGACCUCGACGACCUCAGAGACGAUGUUGGAAUCGGGGGCUCCUGGGCCGACUUCCUGGAUUACCUCAAGUCCUCCUUGUCCUCCGGCGAGGUGAAGCUGCUCUUCGCCGCCGACCAACUCCGCAAGUCAACCGGUUCUGAUGGUGCAAAGCUUGUGGUUACCAAGGCAAAGGGCCUGCCUCGCAUCACCAUUUCUCUCCAUAGUGUUACUGGCGCUGCGACGAGUGAUGUCAUAGCCGAGUUCUCGCUAGCGCUCUACGGAGCUUAUAGGACUGCACGGGAGCUUGUAUCCAAAGAACAAGAACAAAUGUCACAGCUGAUGGGGAGUCUGUCAACUGAAAGAGAAAAGAACGAAAUCAUGCAAAAACAACUCGAAUCUCUUUCUUUCCUAGACAAAAGAAAGGCAACAAAGCCAAAGCUGUUGGCAGAUCAGGUUCCAAGUGUGUCUGCUGUGACUCUGGGCUCUGAUCAAGUUACAGCUCCUGUGCAGCAGCAAAUAUCAGUACCUUCACCUAGUAAAGCCCCUCCUGCUAAAGUCACGAAGAGGGUAGCCCCCGCGUCUCGGAGGGCAAGAGUGCGAGGAGCUCUGCUGCAAGAUAAUGAGGAUGAGGAUGACAACUGACAGAGUUAGAGAUGCUGAUAUCUUGGUUUAAGUUUGCUAUAUGUGAACUUACAAAGAGUGGCUUGUGGUUGGUCAGUUUUCUGGCCGUUUUGACUCGUGUCGCACUUGUGGAAAUGAAAGUAAUUUUAAUUCAUGGCAUGAAAGUGCAGGACAGAGUACAUGCUAUGAUGCUAAGUUCAUAUAAAAUAUUUUUUUUCCAUUUUUUUAGGAUUUAUCGUGCCUUUGCUACUGAACAUAGUUGGAUGAUGCAAAGGCCAAAUGCUGCUCCUCUGAAGACGUACUCGUAGGGAAUAGAAUCCAUGUAUUGGGAGGAACUGAGUGGUCAAGAGAGUUCGACUCCUGGCUUGUUCUGUUCUGUGUUACUAUUUUAUUUCAGUUAUGGCUUGCAGACACUUGCU